GGCGACAUGGCCGAGCGGUCUAAGGCGCUAGAAUCAGGAUUUCUGGUUAAUCUAGUCUUUCGGGGCGUGAGUUCGAAUCUCACUGUCGUCA